CCUGCGGAUCUUAUCCAUCGUAUCAAUUAAUUGAGUAACUAGUGGGUUUUGGUGGUUGUUAAUUCUCAUGUUAUACUGUUACUGAAUUUGGAUAUUUCUUCUUUAACUGUGGGUAUCUCAAGGUCGCGAUAUAUUGUUUCGUUGGUAACAUGCCAAAGUGCAGCUUUUAAGGAUCUUAGAGUUUUUGAUUGGAAUCGUUGAAGAAUUUCUAUGUUGGAAUUACUCGCUGUUCCCCAUAGCUGGAUCCCAUAGGUGCAGACAGGUUUUAAUUUGGCUUUGUAUAGCAUUAUUUUACUCUGCACGCUUAAGUUGGAACGCCUGCCAAUGAGCCAGUAGAAUUUAGAAAUUUUGUAAUUUUAAUUUAA
rnacentral:misc_RNA from 1 species